ACCAUGUUUCCUUCUUGUGCCCACCACAAUUGUCUUCAGAAGUGCAACUGCAGGAGAUUGGGGUGUGGUGUUGCCUGUGUUGCUGCUGUGGUGACCUGCUCCUUGGAUAAGUCAUAGGCCACAGCUGCCAAGCCUCAGGUCAGUGUUUUGAAGCUUAUCAGACUUCUCAGGCAGCUAAGCUGGCAGCAGACAGGAGUGUUUCUGUAGCUGGGCUUCCUAUAUCACUGAGUAACCAUCUCUGGCAUAGGCCAAGAAAUACAGCUCGGUUCUUCCACUACUUCCCUGCAGCCUCUUCAAGGAAAGGCAUGUAUCAUCUGGCUGGUUUUACUAGAAAUAGUGCUGCUUUUUCCUUCUAAUUCUGAAAAGUGUAAGGAUUUUCAGAGACUGAGCCAGAGACAUAACCAAGAAAGUCCUCCAGCUGAGGUGAAGCCUGAUCUAAGGAAUAGAGGUGGCUGCUGAUGCCUGUUGAUUGCUGACUUUUGAUGCCUGACUAUCUGCCCAGAUAGUUAGUUUUUGUUGUUGUUGCUAUCAAGAGGCAACUGUUUAUGGUGAAACUUUUCUUUUUAAAGACCAUGUUCUAGUCCCUUCUACAUGGAAGAUGCUCAGAUGCAUCAGGCCACCUGAGCACUAGCAGGCUGUCCGUGAUUCAGGUAGUGCCCUGUAUUGAGCGCUUCAGCAUCCUCCAGGGUGGAUUAAAUGAAGUGUCCAACGCCUGCUGCUUACAGUGUUUCUGCUUGCAUCAAGUGGUAUCUUCACACUUUGCAAUGUUGUGGUCUUGUUUCUAUGCUAAACCUAAGAAAAUUCGGUCCUCUGAGAGGGACGGUAGUGUUGCAGGAUUUGGGGAAUUUUAUGACCAGUUGUUUAUUUAAGUAAAUCCAUUAAGUUUCUGGGUAGGUGCUAUGUCUAAGAUAGAUGUCUAAGAUGUACUAAUUAACAAAAGGUCUUCACCAUAACUCAUCUGUGUAUUUCAUAACAACUGUAGUGGCAUCUGCUGGUAAGGCUUACAACUGCAACGUUUUCAGUGCUAAUAGGUGGGAUAUCUGUGUAUUAGUGUUGGCAUUCAGGAAUGUUUUCUUACGCUAUUUAAAAUGCCCUAUCAAGGAAACAGAGCUGUAUCAAGGACACCUAAAGCUCCAAGUGAACAGACCUUAUUGCUCACAGUGACUUGAGAUAGAGUUUGGGCUGGGCUCCUCAGUUUUGUUCCAGACAGAACGACCCUGUAAUCCAUUUACAAGUUCAAGCCUUUGUUUUAGAUAUCAUGGAAUAGAAUAUGCUCACUAAUUUUUUAUUUACUUAUUUUAGGGAUUUGCUUUCCCUAAAUUGAUGUCAGUGCUAGAGAAUCUUAGGCUUGCUGAAGCCAUCUCUCUUUGAAGUGCAACACAGAGGAAAAAUGGCUGAACCCUGUGAAUCUGCUUUCCUAGCCAGAUGGCACUAGCUUGCCCUGAUGACAAGCAAGAACUCAAUGAAGUUGAAUCGCCCCUGCAAACCUUCACACCAAAUAGUGAGCAUGUAUGUCUGCCUGGCACAGCUUCAGGAACCUGAGUAAAUUCAUUUCCUUAUGAAGCACUUAACCACGGAUCAUCUGGCUCCACAAGAAAAUUGUAAAUUGGUGUUUUACAUGAACUUUCACUGAACCUGAAUUGUAGUGCACAUAUUUACCACCUCCACUGUUUUCUGCAGUAGACAAGUCCUUCUUGUUAGCCAGACUACUGUGGAAGAGGGUCUGAUUUCAUGAAGCCCAGCAACCCACAUGUAGAAGAUGGCCAGUCCUGAAUACGUAGCUGGUGCACAGACACAGGUUAGCUGCACAUCCAUUAUAUAUCAAGCAUCUUGCGUUUCAUUUACUACUUCCAGACAUGCUGAGAAUAGAUCUGAAUUUCACCCAACUUACUGAACUUGAAUCUUGGUUCAGUUUGCCUCUGGGAAUAGGAAUUGUCUUGUCUGUAAUGCUUCUCCUGAAAUCCUUGUAUGGCAACUGAGGUUUAAUCAAGAAUCUAAAGAAUUCUGGCAAGAAGUCUCCAAAACUGAUUGGAGAAUUUGUUUUGUAAAAACAAAUUGUUAGAUUUUCAGGAAAUCAAAUUCAUGAUAACAAGUACAGUGCUGCUUCUUAGGGUGGAGUAGUGGGGGUGUGGUUAGGGGAGUAGGAAAGACAGCAGUAAAUGACCACCUAUCUACAGAAAUCUGCAGGUGUACCUGUACCCAGAAAGUCUGCAGCUACACUGCUAUUUUCUGUUUUUGUUUGUUUGUUUUUCCCUAAGGCAAAUGCUGGAAGUUUUGACGCUGUUUUGCUGCAUGUUUGUCUAGAAGUGUCUUCUGUAAAUGGGAUGCAACUAAAACUGAUAGGCUUCAGGAUCUAGCAUUAAACACUGUCCCACCCUGAAAUCAAACAUGCACAUCUUGCUACCAAGCACAGCUGAUGAAGCCACAGAGAUGACACUUUUGUUCAUAUAGAAUUUCUGAUAUAUUUAAAACUUUAUUUUUCCAAAGACUACCAACACUUUAAAAAUGUCUUAUAAAACAUAGAUUUCAGUGUGCCAUAAAUUAUACAGUAUCAGUAACUCAUGACAAUUGGGGGGUGGGGGAGGGAUCAAGAUUUAAAUUAUUCUGCCCCUUAAGGCUUAGGCCUAACCAGAAUGAUUCUUUUACUUAGAAAUGCAAAAAUGGUCUAGAGAAAGAUUCACAUUUGAACACCCUCUGAACUUCAUGGAACUUUGUGCUUUACAGUAUUUCUACUGAAGCUGAUGUCUGAACUGAAGUAGUUCAGUUCUAUAAAUGAAGUGUGUGGGGAUGUGUGUGGGAGGUCCAUUUAUUGUUCAGGUUGGACCCAACCACAAAAAUACAGAUUAUAGUUGAUGAUGAGCUCGAAUAAAAAGCAAUGCAUUUGAUUCCCUCCCUGUCCCAUGCUGAUCUUUCUACUCCUUUCAGAUGUAUGGUUAUUUUCCUCCAAGUUACUGUAUGCUAGUAUUGUUCUUAUCUAUACAUUCACUUGAUUAUGUGGCUGUGUGCUGAGCCUGUCAUUUACGUUGCUGUUUCAUUAUGUGCGUAAUUAUUUCUCUGUGGGCAGCCAGAACUGCUAAUGAUGCUGCAUCAAUUGCUGCUACUGUGAGAGCUGAGAGCAGAGUGU